rnacentral:lncRNA from 1 species
AAGAAUUCCAUGUGUUAAUCAUUGAAUUCUGAUUCUUGAGCAUGGAUGCAUUCCACAGAUCAUUCUGGUCUCCCUGGAGUCCUUGUACAUUGUCAACUGAGCAUCAUCGUUUGAAUAAAUCAGCAUAGGCUUGCAUAUGGUAGAAUAUAAGAUAAAUCCUGAAAUCUCUGUGGUGUAACACAGCACCGUGUUAUUACUCACCUGUGUGAAGUUCAGUCUAGAUUGGGUGGCCCUCCUUAAUCUUGUAACUACACCCUCUGCUCCAGGGGGAUUUCAGGGUCACUGCUAAAAGGGAAAAGAGAGAUUGAGGAGGCACAUUGGCUUUGACUGUUUUAGCCCAGAAGUAGCAUCAUCCUUUGGCCAGAACUGAUCACAUGGCCCCAGUAUACUGCAGAGAGGGGAGGAAAUGUAGGAUGCUCGAGGGAUGUUUGGUGAGCACCAACCAACUUUCUCUGCCACAUCGUUCUUACCACAAAAUAUUUGUAACUUGGAAGACUAGUGAGUGAUCUCCAUUCUUUCUGCAAAUCUUACUGACCGACAUGCUCGGGACCUGUUGGCACACGCUCGGCUAGUGGUUACUCCUGAGGUCCGCUCAUUCACUCUGUUCCCACCCCUCCAGCUGUGUGUUCUCCAGCAGCGGCACAGCGCUCAGAGUGGAGCAGGCCCCCGCUGAAUUGAUGUUGUCCCUAUGACAGUGUGCCGCCCACUGUGACAGGCAGUGCCAAUGCAGAGACGAGAAGACUCAGACCCUGCUGGAGAUGUGGAGGGGAAGACAGACAAGAAAACCAGAAUGACAGCAGGCCUGGGGGGUCCACGAGGAGCCAGCCCCCAGCACAGAGGCACCUGGAUGCUGAGACACGGGGACAAUCUGCUUCGUCGUGUGUGUUCUCAUUGUCUAACCGGAGAUUGUCUCUUGCUUUCCAGCCUGAAUAAAUACAAAACUCAUCACUUC